AAAAAGAAAAGAGAAAAUUUGAAAUUCCGUCACUUAUGCCUAUAUAAAGAGCACUCACAUGCCUUUAUUCACAAGUUUUGGAAGCCAAAAAACUCCCACGAAAAACUAUCUCUAAUCCCCAGAUCUGAUUUUGAAAUUCAAGCAUUCAAAACCCCCCAAAAAAUAAUAGAAAAUCCCUAGAAAACCAAAAAAAUCAGGAACUACUUUUCCAUUGAAAAUUUGCAGUUAGUUUUGAAUUUCAACUCCUGAAUUGCAUCAUUUAGUCUUAAUCUGUUUGCUUAUACAUUCUGGUGGUGCCUGGGUUAAUUCGAGAGGGUGUGGGUCCAAUUGAGGCUAUUUGGGCUGGUUUUGUUAAGCUGUUGGUUUCAAAAGUGGUUAUAGGAUCUGUGUUGAGUCUAUUUUGGUUUUACAAGUGUAUUUGGGUCAUUAUUGGUGUUGUCUAUCUCUGAAAACAAUCCUGGGCUGCUCAUUCUAUUUCUGGGCUAUUUUUGAUCAUCAAUUGCUUCUACUGACUCUCAUUCCUCUCAUUCUAUUUUAAAUCCAGGUACAUGCUUCGAAUCUCCCCUGAUGUAACUUCAAAUUGGAGUGAAAUGAAGACUUAUUAAAGAACUGAGCUUGUUUGAAUAUUUGUAGUUACAGUCAGUUAAUUGAUGUGGUUGUUUGGUUUUUAAUUUGUUGGGCGUUGUAUUAAAUAGGGACUGUUAAUUGGGAUUGCCUCAGGCUGAUUUGGACUGCUUUGAUUAUUAUUUUAUAACUGAUUGUUAAACAACUUAAGGAUUUUGUAUUUAGUAAUUAAUUAGACUGUUGAACAUGGAAUGGAACUAGUUGCAGUUUGCAUGUGUAGUAUAGAGUCUUCGAACUGUAAUAAUUUGGGCUGAAAAUCAAUUAUUGGAGUUAAUUAGUUUAGUUUAGUUCCUAUGAAGUUUGAUUAGGGAAAGUAGCUCAUCUUCGAAUUCGUAAUUGCAGUAGCUCAUCUUCAAAUUCAUAAGUCACUUGAGUGUUGAACUAGUUGUUAGCUAAGAUUAAUUCGAAAAUAAUUAGUAUGUUACGUGUGAAUAAAAUUAUUGUUUUUCAACGUGUACUUAACCUUAUUAGUACCUGAAAACUCAAUAGAAAACCAGUAAACAAAACAAUUGAGACAUGAAGCUGAAGUUCAAAGAGGAUUUGAGGUUGUUGGCUGGUCUUGUCUUCACGAGAGGCGCCAUCACGAUCGGGUAUGGAAUUUGGGUCGUGACAUAAUAAGAUCUACUUUGAAUAAUCUUCCUAAACACUUAAUGCAAUAUAUUACACUACCUUCGCAUAUUAUUUUCUUCCUUAAUAGAUACCUACGAAAUUUCCUUUGGGGCACUACCACUCAGAGGAAAAAAUUACAUCUUAUAAAUUGGUCAAUGGUUACUCGAACUUUAGAGAAAGGGGAUUGGGCAUCCAAAAUUUCAGUCUUAAAAAUCAAGCCUUACAUUUUAGUCUUGCUUGGAGGCUAUUUCAAAACCCUACUGAGCUAUGGGCACAAGUUUUAUUUCAUUGUUAUCUUAAGCCUUCUAAAGCAAGUAAAAUUACUGUUUCAAGAACUUGGUCAACCAUUAUUAAGGGUUGGUCCAAUUGUAGAUUAGGUUACACAUGGAACCUGACUGAUGGUAAAAGGAUAAAUUUCUUGAUUGAACCUUAGAUAUAUAAUAAUUCUCUGGUCCGUAGUCAUAUCUAUAGGCCCCUACCCAGAGGUGAAGAUAGGAAAAAUGUGUCUGCAUACUAUUUUAAUCAUAGGUGGCAUUUACAUCUUUUGCCUUUUGUGUUACCUUCUCAACUAGCAGUCUCAAUUACUAAUGCUUAUAUGCCAAUGGUGCCCAUCAGAUAUGAUCAGCUUUACUGUACACUUACACAUGAUGGGUUGUUCUCUGUUAAAUCUAUGUAUAAUAUUCUUGCACAUGUCUUUAAUAUUUCUACUAUAAAUAAGGACGUACAGUACAAAUGAAUUUGGAAACUCAGAAUCCCAUCCAAGAUUUCCUUCUUUGUAUGAUUACUGUGUCAUGACAGGCUUCCUGCAGCUGCAUAUUUACAUAAGUUACAAAUUAUUAAUUUACCUUUGUGUCCACAAUGCCAACUGGCACCUGAGACUAUACACCAUCUUUUUAUGAAAUGUUCUAAUGCUACUGCACUUUGGGUUGCUCUUUAAGGUAAAUACUACUAUGAUAGGGCCAUCAACUACUCAUCAUAUCGCUUGGUGGUACAACUUUAUACAUAAGCAGAUUUUGCCAACAUUCUUUUUUGCGUCAUUUUACCAUUUGCUUUAUGGGAGUUAUGGUCUAUAAGAAAUAAAAAAAAAAUUGAACAUAAAAUUCUUAAGUAAAGUAUUUCAUUGCUUUACAAACAGGUCAUUGAAUACUAUUACCUCACAAAUCCAAUAAAUAGUAAUACUUUACUUAUGUCUAUUUAUAUUAAAUUGCAUCUCCCGGAUAGCCAGCACCCCCAGGUAACCACCAGGCACCUAUUUCAACGGCGAGGAUCUACGACAACUGUCGUCCAAGCUCUCAUUCAGACUCACGGCAGGACGCAAUAGAGCCGCGCACUUUGCUAAGAUUCAGGAGAACUCGGGCGCAGCAAAGCACANNNN
rnacentral:lncRNA from 1 species